UUUAGUAAAGUGUUAAAGCAUAUUACAUUUUGGUUGUAAAGGUGAAUUGUGUUCUACUUUUU
rnacentral:tRNA from 1 species